GAAUCUUAGACAAUGGGGGAAACCCUGAUCUAGCCAUGCCGCGUGAGUGACGAAGGCCUUAGGGUCGUAAAGCUCUUUCGCCAGGGAUGAUAAUGACAGUACCUGGUAAAGAAAACCCGGCUAACUCCGUGCCAGCAGCCGCGGUAAUACGGAGGGGGUUAGCGUUGUUCGGAAUUACUGGGCGUAAAGCGCACGUAGGUGGACCAUUAAGUCAGGGGUGAAAUCCCGGGGCUCAACCCCGGAACUGCCUCUGAUACUGGCGGUCUUGAGUUCGAGAGAGGUGAGUGGAAUUCCAAGUGUAGAGGUGAAAUUCGUAGAUAUUUGGAGGAACACCAGUGGCGAAGGCGGCUCACUGGCUCGAUACUGACGCUGAGGUGCGAAAGUGUGGGGAGCAAACAGG
rnacentral:rRNA from 1 species